CAUUAUUGAAUAAGCUUGGUUGGGUUGUUGCUGGCUUUUCGGAGCAUGUGCACGCUCACCACCAACCUUUUACCACCUGUGCACCUUUUGUAGACCUAGAUAUCUCUCGAGGAAAACUCGGUUUUGAGGACUGCUGUGCGCAAGCCGGCUUUCCUUACACUUCUAGGUCUAUGUUUUUACACACCCCAGUAUGUUUAAGAAUGUUAUCAAAUGGGCUUGAUUGCCUUUAAACUUUAUACAACUUUCAACAACGGAUCUCUUGGCUCUCGCAUCGAUGAAGAACGCAGCGAAAUGCGAUAAGUAAUGUGAAUUGCAGAAUUCAGUGAAUCAUCGAAUCUUUGAACGCACCUUGCGCUCCUUGGUAUUCCGAGGAGCAUGCCUGUUUGAGUGUCAUGAAAUUCUCAACCUAGUCAACUUUUUCUGUUGGCCAAGGAUUGGAUGUGGGAGGUUGCGGGCUUCUCAGAAGUCGGCUCUCCUUAAAUGUAUUAGCGGGACCCUUGUUGCCUAGCUCUGGUGUGAUAAUUAUCUCUGCCAUUGUCUUUAUACAUGGGGGAUCAGCUUCUAACUGUCCCUUUCAGGACAAACCUUUGACAAUUUGACCUCAAAUCAGGUAGGACUACCCGCUGAACUUAAGCAUA
rnacentral:rRNA from 1 species